AGCGAACGCUGGCGGCAGGCUUAAUACAUGCAAGUCGAGCGGGCGUAGCAAUACGUCAGCGGCAGACGGGUGAGUAACACAUGGGAACGUGCCUUUUGGUUCGGAACAACCCAGGGAAACUUGGGCUAAUACCGGAUAAGCCCUUCGGGGAAGAUUUAUCGCCAAAAGAUCGGCCCGCGUCUGAUUAGCUAGUUGGUGGGGUAAGUGGCCUACCAAGGCAACGAUCAGUAUCCGGCCNGAGAGGGCGGACGGACACACUGGGACUGAGACACGGCCCAGACUCCUACGGGAGGCAGCAGUGGGGAAUUGUUCGCAAUGGGCGCAAGCCUGACGACGCAACGCCGCGUGGAGGAUGAAGACCUUCGGU
rnacentral:rRNA from 1 species